AUAUAUGUUUCGGUUUUGUAUUUGGUUCGCAAGAUUCUUUCUGUGAGUUCGUGUGUCGAAACAUAUUCUGUUGUGUCUGGGGAGAGUGCAGAGAGAGAGAG